rnacentral:rRNA from 1 species
ACGAACGCUGGCGGCGUGCUUAACACAUGCAAGUCGAACGAUGAAGCCCUUCGGGGUGGAUUAGUGGCGAACGGGUGAGUAACACGUGGGCAAUCUGCCCUUCACUCUGGGACAAGCCCUGGAAACGGGGUCUAAUACCGGAUACCACUCCUGCCUGCAUGGGNAGGGGUUGAAAGCUCCGGCGGUGAAGGAUGAGCCCGCGGCCUAUCAGCUUGUUGGUGGGGUAAUGGCCCACCAAGGCGACGACGGGUAGCCG